AGUGAACGCUGGCGGUAGGCCUAACACAUGCAAGUCGAACGGCAGCACAGUAAGAGUUUGCUCUUACGGGUGGCGAGUGGCGGACGGGUGAGGCAUACAUCGGAUACUAAUUUUUCGUGGGGGAUAACGUAGGGAAACUUACGCUACUACAGAAUACGACCUACGGGUGAAAGCAGUGGAGAUACGGACCUUGGGCGAUUCAAUGAGACGAUGUCGGAUUAGCUAGUUGGCUGGGUAAGGGCCCACCAAGGCAACGAUCCGUAGCGGGUCUGAGAGGAUGAUCGGCCACACUGGAACUGAGACACGGUCCAGACUCCUACGGGAGGCAGCAGUGGGGAAUAUUCCACAAAGGGCGCAAGCCUGAUCCAGCCAUGCCGCGUGAGUGAAGAAGGCCUUCGGGUUGUAAAACCCUUUUGUUGGGAAAGAACAGCAGCGGGAUAAACCCCCGCUGUUCUGACGGUACCCAAAGAAUAAGCACCGGCUAACUUCGUG
rnacentral:rRNA from 1 species